rfam:Natronorubrum tibetense GA33 contig_1, whole genome shotgun sequence.
GGGCCCUUAGCUCAGUCUGGUUAGAGCGCUCGGCUCAUAACACGGCCGCAACUGGUGCGGGUGUGUGAGAUACCGAGUGGUCGAUGGUUCGAAUCCGUCAGGGCCCA